rnacentral:rRNA from 1 species
GACGAACGCUGGCGGCGUGCUUAACACAUGCAAGUCGAACGGAAAGGCCCCUUUGGGGGUACUCGAGUGGCGAACGGGUGAGUAACACGUGAGUAACCUGCCCUUGACUUCGGGCUAACUUCAGGAAACUGGGGCUAAUACCGGAUAGGAAUCCUUGCUGCAUGGGGGGGGUUGGAAAGCUUCGGCGGUUUUGGAUGGACUCGCGGCUUAUCAGCUUGUUGGUGGGGUAGUGGCUUACCAAGGCUUUGACGGGUAGCCGGCCUGAGAGGGCGACCGGCCACAUUGGGACUGGGCGACGGCCCAGAGUCCUGCGGGAGGCAGCAGUGGGGAAUAUUGCACAAUGGGCGGAAGCAUGAUGGAGCAACGCCGCGUGAGGGAUGACGGCCUUCGGGUUGUAAACCGCUUUAAGCAGGGGCGAAGCUUGUGGUGACGGUACCUGAAGAAGAAGCACCGGCUAACUACGUG